rnacentral:rRNA from 1 species
UACGAAGGGGGCUAGCGUUGCUCGGAUUUACUGGGCGUAAAGGGCGCGUAGGCGGACAGUUAAGUUGGGGUGAAAGCCCGGGCUCAACCUCGGAAUUGCCUUCAAUACUGGCUGUCUUGAGUGUGAGAGAGGUGUGUGGAACUCCGAGUGUAGAGGUGAAAUGCGUAGAUAUCUGGAGGAACACCGGCGGCGAAAGCGGACUACCUGGACAGAGACUGACGCUGAGAUGCGAAAGCGUGGGAGCAACA